rnacentral:lncRNA from 1 species
AGAGAAGGGGCCCAAGAGCUUAGUCCUCCGGAUGGCAGAGGCUGCCCUCUGCUGCUUCCUUUCCACAGAUCUCAUUUUGAGCCUUUUCCUUCAGUUCCCUUCCCUCUUUUCUGAGGCCAGAGGAAGUCUACGCAGGCAGAGGUGAUGAGUUCAUGCACACUGGCAUUGCCUCGGGUUCUCAACAGGGCCAAGCAGCACCCCACCUUCCGUCUCUAUGACGGGAUGACGUGUAUAGUAGCCCUGGGUAGCGCCUCACAGGCCCUGCUCCAUUGCAAGUGUCUUCCAACCUCCUGGCAGUGUUGGAUUUGAGCUCUCGGGAGAGAGAUGCUAUGCUACUUGGCUGUGCCUUCUCGCCCACUCUGUUCCCUUUCUCUUGGGUGUGGUUACUCGGCAAUGACUAGCCUCCCUUGCCCACUUCUUUCUUCUGCCGGGGGGUGGGGACGUCACGCCAGCCCUGUGACCUUAUAGCUCACGUCAAGGGGCUGGGUGGGGAAGGACUUUGUUCCCAACAAGGCUGCUGAGCAGCUCUUGAUCCAGCCUGUGUCCUGCAGAUGCUUUCACAGGAGGCAGGGCAGCAGCCUAACAAGCUCUGUUCUGUGCGGGCAGGAGCGGGAGACCGGAUCUGUGCCACUGAAGGUGGGAAGAGGAGUACACAGUUCGGAUACAGCUACAAGAGCGAGUCACUGAGCUCCAGGAGGAGGCCCAAGAGGCCGACGCCUGCCAAGAGGAGCUCGCCAUGAAGGUGGAGCAACUGAAAGCUGAACUGGUGGUCUUCAAGGGGCUCAUGAGCAAUAAUCUGACAGAGCUGGACACCAAGAUCCAGGAGAAGGCCAUGAAGGUAGACAUGGACAUCUGCCGCCGCAUUGACAUCACGGCCAAGCUCUGCGACCUGGCUCAGCAGCGCAACUGUGAGGAUGUGAUCCAGAUGUUCCAGGUCCCGUCCAUGGGGGGGCGGAAGCGGGAACGCAAGGCUGCUGUGGAGGAGGACACCUCCCUGUCGGAGAGUGAUGGGCCCCGCCAGCCUGAGGGGGACGAGGAGGAGAGCACAGCCCUCAGCAUCAACGAGGAGAUGCAGCGCAUGCUCAGCCAGC